rnacentral:lncRNA from 12 species
CCAUAAGCUCUGCGCCUGCUGUUGUCAUUUCUCUCUGUCUUCCCAUCUAUUUUCUUUGAAUCUAUUUUGGUCAAGCCCUUUUCUAAUUUGCAUUUUCAAAGUCAUGCUUAUUAAGCUAGUUAGAAAUGUGUCCUCUGUGACAACAGAGGGACUCUCCAAGGAGUUAAAUUCUAAUACUUCAAUACUUAAGUGGAACUCAAUAUCUUGUUUUACUUCUGAGAAGUCGAUCUGCUUCCUUCCAAGUGUUACUGUGCUGGCAAUUGAAAUGACAAGGAUAGGCAGCAGGCUGUUAAUUCAUCAGAGGAGGAGACUGUGGUCUCAGGGAGACGGGGCUGGACAUGGCUGGAAGGUCGAGGAUGGCCGGGCAGCUACCCUACACAGCAAGACCUGUGUGUGCUUCUUCCAUUGACCUCAGCUCCUCUAGAGUGGAAGCUCCAUGGAAGCAGGGCUCUUCUCUGUUUUGUUCACUUCCUAUAUUCCUAAUGCCUAGAACACAGCCUGGCACAUAGUAGAUGUUCAAUAAAAGUUGAAGCACAAAAGAAAUCA